GUAUCACUUAGGCAGCAUGUAUGCUAAAAUUGGAAUGAUAUGGAGAAAAUCAGCAUGGCCCCUGUGCAAGGAUGACACCCAAAUUUGUGAAGCAUUCCAUAUUAAA
rnacentral:snRNA from 1 species